rnacentral:rRNA from 1 species
AGAGUUUGAUCCUGGCUCAGAUUGAACGCUGGCGGCAUGCUUUACACAUGCAAGUCGAACGGCAGCGGGGUAGUGCUUGCACUACUGUCCGGCGAGUGGCGAACGGGUGAGUAAUAUAUCGGAACGUACCGAGUAAUGGGGGAUAACCAAUCGAAAGAUUGGCUAAUACCGCAUACGUCCUACGGGAGAAAGCGGGGGAUCGCAAGACCUCGCGUUAUUCGAGCGGCCGAUAACUGAUUAGCUAGUUGGUGGGGUAAAGGCCUACCAAGGCGACGAUCAGUAGCGGGUCUGAGAGGACGAUCCGCCACACUGGGACUGAGACACGGCCCAGACUCCUACGGGAGGCAGCAGUGGGGAAUUUUGGACAAUGGGGGCAACCCUGAUCCAGCCAUGCCGCGUGUAUGAAGAAGGCCUUCGGGUUGUAAAGUACUUUUGUUAGGGAAGAAAAGGGAAGUGCUAAUACCACUUUUUGCUGACGGUACCUAAAGAAUAAGCACCGGCUAACUACGUG